rnacentral:lncRNA from 1 species
UGAUGGAAGGCUGCUGGGUGUAGUCAAGUACUUGACUUGUCGGUGCGUGUGUCAAGAUGGGAUUGACCAUUCUAGUUUAGGAGCUGUGUACAGUCGUGUUUCAAUUUAGCAAAACCUUGGCCAGGGUAGUCCUUGUGAGGAGUCACAGGACUGUUUGAGUUGAGCACGAUUCGGAUGAUCUGAUCAGGGUUGACAGUUUAACCCUGAGUCAUCCUAAAC